GGCGUAGAUAGGGUAGCUCCCGACAAGCUGCAACCUUUCACAGUUUCUACGCCGAUUAAAGAAAGG
rnacentral:ncRNA from 1 species